GGGCCCGACGGCCGGCCGGCCCGCGGCGCCGGGCGAUCCCCGGCCGGUGGUGGCGCCGAAGCCGCCCGAGCCGGUCACGCUCGGCUCGGUCGCC
rnacentral:tRNA from 1 species